AUGGACGCCGCGGCGGAGCCCCUGCUGCCGCAACCGGCAACCGCCGUGGACCACCUCGGCCGUCCGGUCUCCCGCCAAACCUCCGGCCGGUGGCCCGCCGCGCUCUUCAUCAUCGGCGUGGAGAUCUCCGAGCGGUUCGCCUAUGGCGGCAUCUCAGGGAACCUCAUCACCUACCUGACCGGCCCGCUAGGGCAGUCCACGGCGUCGGCCGCCGCGGCCAUCAACGCCUGGAGCGGCGUCGCGCUUCUGCUGCCGCUGCUCGGAGCCGCCGUCGCCGAUUCCUGGCUCGGCCGUUACCGCACUGUAGUCUGCGCCUCCCUACUCUAUAUCCUGGGCCUGGGCAUGCUCACACUAUCAUCAAUUCUUGCACCACAACAACCAGCACAAUUUGGAGACCACAUGGAUUCCGCUUUAUCCUCGACUUCAACAAUUCAUUUAGCUUUCUUCUACGUGUCCCUGUAUAUUGUGGCCUUUGCGCAAGGUGGCCACAAACCUUGUGUGCAAGCAUUUGGGGCAGACCAAUUUGAUGAGAACGAUCCUGAAGAAUUUGCCUUGAGAAGUUCCUUCUUCAAUUGGUGGUAUUUUGGGACGUAUGCAGGCAGCGUUGUUACAGUUUCAAUCUUGAAUUACAUUCAAGAUAACAUAAGCUGGCAGUUUGGGUUCGGAAUCCCUUGCAUGGUUAUGUCUCUUUCUCUUGCAGUUUUGUGGCUUGGGACCAGGACUUAUCGCUUUUAUCCUGUAAGAAGUGAUGGAAGCUUAAUUGGACAGGUUGUCAAACACAUUUUAUCAUUGGUUAGAACCUGGCAUGCAUCAUGGAGUUUGAGGUCAUCUGAUGAUUCCCACUGCAUGCCAACAUCGUCAUCCAGCAGACUCAAGGAUAAAGCAGAAAUGACAUGUUUCCCUGAUGAAGCCAAGUCUCUGCUUAAAUUGUUUCCAAUAGGGGCAACCUGCCUGAUCUAUGCAGUUGUUUUUGCCCAGUGGAUGACGCUGUUCACUAAACAAGCAAGUACACUAGAUAGGUGGAUAGGUAGCUUACAGGUACCAGCUGCUGCCCUACAAAGCCUUAUCAGCGUGUCAAUCGUCAUCUCGAUUCCUAUAUAUGACCGGAUACUUGUUCCACUAGCCAGAAAGUACUCACAGAAGCCUUGUGGCAUCACAGCCUUGCAAAGGAUAGGAACUGGACUAGUCAUCUCCGUGAUCUUGAUUGUUGUUGCAGCCCUCGUGGAGAUGAGAAGGCUCAAAAUAGCAAGAGAGCAUGGCCUAGUGGACAAACCCGAAGCAACAAUUCCAAUGAGCUUUUGGUGGGUGGUACCUCAGUUCAUCCUGACUGGCGUGGCGGACAUGUUCACGAUGGUCGGCUUGCAAGAGUUCUUCUACGACCAAGUGCCAGACAGUCUGCGCAGUUUGGGCCUUGCCUUAUACUUGAGCAUAUUCGGAAUUGGGAGCUUCAUCAGUGGCUUUCUGGUGUAUGCAAUCGACCGGGUAACCAGUGACGGUGGAGAUAGUUGGUUCUCAAACAAUCUGAACCGAGGCCAUCUUGAUUACUUUUACUGGCUUCUGGCCGCGCUCAGCGUUGUCGGGCUGGCUGCUUACCUCCACUUUUCACAAGUGUAUGUCUCCAAGAAAAAGGGCAUUUCAGCAGAAUGA
rnacentral:rRNA from 1 species